CAUAUUCUGAGAUUUCUCCUUCUAAAUCACGUCGGUUCCAAAUUUUGUUUUUUCUUGAGUGGAGGCUCAAAUUUAGUUAUUCGUACACAGGUUCGGAGCACUAGAAUCGUUGAGGAAUAUUCCACUUCCCCUGCUUCGGUUCCCCUCUCCGGCGAACCGCGCGCGAUGAGAUCUGCAGCCGCCGCUAGCGCUAGCUCCGGCGCAGAUUUCCCCGACGCUCUGCCCUCCCCGACCUCCCCAGCGGCCGCCCCAUCGCAUCCCAGCCCCGGCCGGCACUACUACCUUGCCGUCGACCGAACCCAGUUUAAGAUGAGGACUCUGUUGGAGCUCCUGGGGGUUGUCGCGGAUCGCCGCGGCGGGCUGCCCAUUUCGAUAUGUGUUUCCUCUCGGGACGAGCUUGAUGCUGUUUGUGCUGCGGUCGCUAACCUUCCCUUUGUGUCAAUGUCACCGCUGUACAGUGAUCAGGCGGAAGCAGAGCGUGCAUCGAUCCUUGAGAAGUUUCGUCAAGAAAUAAUUCAAUGGAAUCAGACUAGUAAAGAUAUCGAUAUGGCUGAAAGUUCGAAGUCUGAAAGUAUGGGCACAAAACUAAGCAUUAUAGUUGCAACAGAUGCUUGCUUGCCUCUGGCAGCGAUGGCAGAGGCACCUCUUCUGGCUCGUGUGCUGAUCAACUAUGAGCUUCCCACAAAGAAGUUUUACAGGAAGCUUACUUAAGGCGCAUGUCAACAUGCUUGGCAGCAGAGGGAAUUGUGAUUAACAUGGUUGUUGGUGGCGAGGUGGCUACACUCAAGGCUUUAGAAGAAAGCAGCGGACUGCUCAUUGCCGAGAUGCCAAUACAUGUUUCAGAGAUAUUAUGACAGUCUCAACUGUACAACAUUUCAGAAGUUAUUACUUUACUUCCGCACGACCGCACUAACUACUUGAGGUUUUACUUCUGUUACUUCGAUUUUUUGGAUUGCUUUUCAUGAUACAGACCUAAAAUGAGAUCCAUGAAGAAUAAGAAUAGUGUUCAUUGCUUAUGAAAUAUUAUAAUCAUGAUUGAUAUCCAAAGACAUGAUUCGUUUACUCCAUGCAUCAGUUCUGUGUUGAUGCAUGCAAAUUUUAUAAGUAUUAAGGGAGCUAGAGUUUUCAGACAACUACAAGUGUGGAACAUCUUUUUAGGCAAUAGAAAUAUAUUUGCACUAACAUCAAUCCAUUAUUCUUGAAUUACAAUUAGUUCUGAAUAGAUCAAUGGCAGAGUUGCAAAGAGACAGUCACUUGCCAAAGUGAUAUUGUUAUGGAAUGCUCUAGCUUGCAGUUUGGCUGUACGAUGAUCUGAUAAACUGGUGUUUUGAGUUUUGACUAGUUGCCUAGCAUUACACUUUGUGAUCUGUGCUGCACCCAACUUUCACUUUGCAGCAAAAAGAAUUGACUGAAAAAGAAAUACAAAUAAAGAAUUACAUGAUAUAUUAGAAAAAUACAGGAAGUGAACAAACUCAUGGAAAUCUGCAGCUUUUAUGGAUUGCACAACCUUCUACUACCAUCAUGUCUUGCAACUAUGCAAUUAUGCUUAACAGUUUUGCUAUAAAAUGGGGUUACUGUAGAGAGAUAUAGAGAGAUGGGAAUCGCCACACAUCCUUGGUUUGAGGAGACACAGCUAUACAUAUCUAAGAGUUACCUGUGCUUUUAUUAUCUAGUAAAUGCGGCCUACUAAAGUGCUCACGGUGCAUUCUUAUCCAUUACAAAAUUAUUUCAAAUAAACAGAUCCAUAAAGUCAACAGGACAAUGCAUAACAUCUCAUGACAUUUAAUGCGUAAUGUGGUAAUUUCAUGUUUGUUUUUCUUGAACAUGCAGGAGAGCAGUGUACCAUUGCAUUAAGAAAGUACUUAUGUUAUUUUUCUCGAGCAAACAGACAUGAAGAGUCAGGCAAACAAUCUAAAAAGUUAUUUUGUAAUAAUGAGUUCCGUUUGUUUGUCGUAGUGUUCACUAUACCAAAAACGUGCCUCCACAAUUUGAGUGUGGUGCACGUGCGACAACAUUUUGAAGCUGCUGGUACCCGGCCAACUUUUAUGAUCGAAGGAAUUAGGCAAAUCACUUAGUUUUGUUGCACCUUUUGAAUGUUGCAAAGUACAUCGAUUUUACCUGAAACUGAAGCACAAGAACUGCAUGGAUCAGUUUGUCUAUUUUUCAUACGUGUUUAGUUCUGAAGCAUAUGUGAUAGGAUGUUAGUUAAACCGAAACUUUGAACAAAGAGAUAAACCGAAACUUUGAACAAAGAGAUGUAAAGUUUGUUUAUCAAUUGACUGCAUUGUUGCCUUUUUUUA